rnacentral:rRNA from 1 species
UAGCAUAUCAAUAAGCGGAGGAAAAGAAACUAACAAGGAUUCCCCUAGUAACUGCGAGUGAAGCGGGAAAAGCUCAAAUUUAAAAUCUGGCGGCUUUGGCCGUCCGAGUUGUAUUCUAGAGAAGUGUUUUCCGCGUUGGACCGUGUACAAGUCUCUUGGAACAGAGCGUCAUAGAGGGUGAGAAUCCCGUCUUUGACACGGACUACCAAUGCUUUGUGAUGCGCUCUCAAAGAGUCGAGUUGUUUGGGAAUGCAGCUCAAAAUGGGUGGUAAAUUCCAUCUAAAGCUAAAUAUUGGCGAGAGACCGAUAGCGAACAAGUACCGUGAGGGAAAGAUGAAAAGCACUUUGGAAAGAGAGUUAAACAGUACGUGAAAUUGCUGAAAGGGAAACGAUUGAAGUCAGUCGCGUUAGUUAGAACUCAGCCAGGCUUGCCUGGUGCAUUUUCUAGUUGACGGGCCAGCAUCAGUUUCGGUCGCGGGAUAAAGGUCAGAGAAAUGUGGCAUCUUCGGAUGUGUUAUAGUCUCUGAUUGCAUACCGUGGCUAGGACUGAGGAUCUCAGCACGCAUCUGUUGUGCUUAGGAUGCUGGCGUAAUGGCUUUAAACGACCCGUCUUGAAACACGGACCAAGGAGUCUAACAAACCUGCGAGUGUUUGGGUGGUAAACCCGAGCGCGUAAUUAAAGUGAAAGUUGGGAUCCCUGUCGUGGGGAGCACCGACGCCCGGACCAGACCUUCUGCGACGGAUCUGCGGUAGAGCAUGUUUGUUGGGACCCGAAAGAUGGUGAACUAUGCCUGAAUAGGGUGAAGCCAGAGGAAACUCUGGUGGAGGCUCGUAGCGAUUCUGACGUGCAAAUCGAUCGUCAAAUUUGGGUAUAGGGGCGAAAGACUAAUCGAACCAUCUAGUAGCUGGUUCCUGCCGA